CCUACGGGUGGCAGCAGUGGGGAAUAUUGCACAAUGGGCGAAAGCCUGAUGCAGCGACGCCGCGUGAGGGAUGACUGCCUUCGGGUUGUAAACCUCUUUCAGUAGGGACGCGGUACCUGCAGAAGAAGCACCGGCCAACUACGUGCCAGCAGCCGCGGUAAUACGUAGGGUGCAAGCGUUGUCCGGAAUUAUUGGGCGUAAAGAGCUCGUAGGCGGUUAGUCACGUCGGCUGUGAAAACCUGGGGCUCAACCCCGGGCCUGCAGCCGAUACGGGCUAACUAGAAUUCGGCAGGGGAGACUGGAAUUCCUGGUGUAGCGGUGAAAUGCGCAGAUAUCAGGAGGAACACCGGUGGCGAAGGCGGGUCUCUGGGCGAAUUGACGCUGAGGAGCGAAAGCGUGGGGAGCAAACAGGAUUAGAUACCCGAGUAGUC
rnacentral:rRNA from 1 species